rnacentral:rRNA from 1 species
CGAACGGGUGAGUAACGCGUGAAUAACCUGACUCAAAGAGGGGGGAGUAACAACGGGAAACUGUUGCUAAUACCGCAUGAGACCACAACACCGCAUGAUGAAGGGGUCAAAGAUUUAUCGCUUUGAGAGGGGUUCGCGUCCCAUUAGGUAGUUGGAGGGGUAACGGCCCACCAAGCCAACGAUGGGUAGCCGAGCUGAGAGGCUGAUCGGCCACACUGGAACUGAGACACGGUCCAG